AUAUGAUGAUUCCCUAGAUGACGAGUCAGAAUGGGGCUUCCCCUUGACGAUACAAACUUUUAAUACCAUUCAUGCCUUCUGAAA
rnacentral:ncRNA from 12 species